rnacentral:rRNA from 1 species
AAAACGACUCUCGGCAACGGAUAUCUCGGCUCUCGCAUCGAUGAAGAACGUAGCGAAAUGCGAUACUUGGUGUGAAUUGCAGAAUCCCGUGAACCAUCGAGUCUUUGAACGCAAGUUGCGGCCCCAAGCCUUCUGGCCGAGGGCACGUCUGCCUGG